UACGUAGGCAGCGAGCGUUGUUCGGAAUUACUGGGCGUAAAGAGUGUGUAGGCGGUGCUCUAAGUUCGGUGUGAAAUCUCCCGCUUAACUGGGAGGGUGCGCCGGAAACUGGAGUGCUCGAGCGUGGGAGAGGAAAGCGGAAGUUCCUGGUGUAGCGGUGAAAUGCGUAGAUAUCAGGAGGAACACCUGCGGUGUAGACGGCUUUCUGGACCAUUGUUGACGCUGAGACACGAAAGCGUGGGUAGCAAACAGG
rnacentral:rRNA from 1 species